AACGAACGCUGGCGGCAUGCCUAACACAUGCAAGUCGAACGAGACCUUCGGGUCUAGUGGCGCACGGGUGCGUAACGCGUGGGAACCUGCCCUUAGGUUCGGAAUAACUCCCCGAAAGGGGUGCUAAUACCGGAUAAUGUCUUCGGACCAAAGAUUUAUCGCCCUUGGAUGGGCCCGCGUUGGAUUAGCUAGUUGGUAGGGUAAAAGCCUACCAAGGCGACGAUCCAUAGCUGGUCUGAGAGGAUGAUCAGCCACACUGGGACUGAGACACGGCCCAGACUCCUACGGGAGGCAGCAGAGGGGAAUAUUGGACAAUGGGCGAAAGCCUGAUCCAACAAUGCCGCGUGAGUGAUGAAGGCCUUAGGGUUGUAAAGCUCUUUUACCCGGGAGGAUAAUGACAGUACCGGGAGAAUAAGCUCCGGCUAACUCCGUG
rnacentral:rRNA from 1 species